GCCAGACUCCUACGGGAGGCAGCAGUGGGGAAUAUUGCGCAAUGGACGAAAGUCUGACGCAGCGACGCCGCGUGAGGGAUGAAGGUUUUCGGAUCGUAAACCUCUGUCAGGAGGGAAGAAAGCGCAUGGCGCCAAUCAGCCAUGCGUUGACGGUACCUGACUAAGAAGCUCCGGCUAACUACGUGCCAGCAGCCGCGGUAAUACGUAGGGAGCAAGCGUUGUCCGGAAUUACUGGGCGUAAAGGGCGCGUAGGUGGGCGCUUAAGUCAGGUGUGAAAACUCCGGGCUCAACCUGGAGACUGCACUUGAAACUGGGUGUCUUGAGGGCAGGAGAGGAAAGUGGAAUUCCUAGUGUAGCGGUGAAAUGCGUAGAUAUUAGGAGGAACACCAGUGGCGAAGGCGACUUUCUGGACUGUACCUGACGCUGAGGCGCGAAAGCGUGGGUAGCGAACGGGAUUAGAUACCCGGGUA
rnacentral:rRNA from 1 species